rnacentral:rRNA from 1 species
GAUGAACGCUGGCGGCGUGCCUAAUACAUGCAAGUCGAGCGAACGGACGAGAAGCUUGCUUCUCUGAUGUUAGCGGCGGACGGGUGAGUAACACGUGGAUAACCUACCUAUAAGACUGGGAUAACUUCGGGAAACCGGAGCUAAUACCGGAUAAUCUUUUGAACCGCAUGGUUCAAAAGUGAAAGACGGUCUUGCUGUCACUUAUAGAUGGAUCCGCGCUGCAUUAGCUAGUUGGUAAGGUAACGGCUUACCAAGGCAACGAUGCAUAGCCGACCUGAGAGGGUGAUAGGCCACACUGGAACUGAGACACGGUCCAGACGCCUAAGGGAGGCAGCAGUAGGGAAUCUUCCGCAAUGGGCGAAAGCCUGACGGAGCAACGCCGCGUGAGUGAUGAAGGUCUUCGGAUCGUAAAACUCUGUUAUGAGGGAAGAACAUAUGUGUAAGUAACUGUGCACAUCGUGACGGUACCUAAUCAGAAAGCCACGGCUAACUACGUG